rnacentral:rRNA from 1 species
GACAGAGGUGCCGAGCGUUAGGCGGAAUCACUGGGCUUAAAGCGUGUGUAGGCGGAUCUGUAAGUACCUGUGAAAUCCCACGGCUCAACCGUGGAACUGCUUGGUAUACUGCGGGUCUUGAGCCACCUAGGGGCAAGUGGAACAAACGGUGGAGCGGUGAAAUGCGUAGAUAUCGUUUGGAACGCCAAUGGUGAAAACAACGUUGCUGGGGGGUGUGCUGACGCUGAGACACGAAAGCCAGGGGAGCAAACGGG